UUACAGCAAAUGUCCUGUAACAAAAAGGAGCAGGACAUGUACUGUAGCUUUACAGGUGGAAGCAUUAUUUUUAAGUGAGAACAUUAUUUACAGGCUGGUGUUGAAUUUCAGGACUGUAAAAUUCGAGUGAUUGUGGCUAGUGUUUAUGAAUGCAGUUUACAUUACUUCCCGUUAGCAUCUUUUUUUCACUAUCGGUUCAGCAACGGGGGGAACCGCUGGGAAACGCUUCGAAAUGGGAUUGAUACCGGGAGGCUUCGAACGAAAAUAUCCGGCUUCAUCGGUUCACCCAUAGGAUAACAUUUCCAGACUGUUAUACGAAUGCAUGCUGCAGUCAUCCGUUACACGAUAUGGAUGGUGAACGAGAGGAACUGACCGUGCUCGAGAAGUAAAAUGAUAGGAGUUUGAUUGUUUAAGCAGGUAAGCAGAACUUUCAUUCUUUUCCACCAAAUGGUAAAAUAAAUAUGAUAAUUGUAAUCUUUGCAGAUCCUUUGCAGGAAAGGUAUCAAUAUUAGCCAUGGCCAAAUUGUCCCCGCCCUCCGUCCGUUAACAGAUGCAAAAUUCACCUUCGAAGUCAAUUGGCAACAGUAACAUACCAAGGCUAAUGGAGUUCUAGGAAUUGGUAUUUUCAUAAAGUAAUGGUUCUGUGACAACUGCGGUGAAAAACCUUACCUAGCGACUGGUUACGUCCGAUUUUAUUGUUCCAGGAGAAAAGCUGUAAAACUCGAGUCAGUCGAUACGGGCUUAAUCUUUGCAGGCUUUCUCCAGUAGGAAUUAAAAUUGGCAAUCAAAAGUCCCAUUGCCGUUACUGAUUCCUGAGGAUCCUCACGAUUCCUGGCACAAAUCCGCGGUACAGAUAAAGGUAAAUUUAUCUGAAAAUAAGCCGGUAUUGUUUUAAAUGUCCGAGCAAUUCUUUAAUGGUUCCAUUUUUUAAAGAACUACCUAUAUGCAUAAAUACCUUUGAUGAAAUUUUUAUGUGCUAAAUUUAAGCAAAAUACUUUAAAUUUUCCAAAAACUGUUUUCGAAACGUUAAACUUUGAAUUGAGAAACAAAAAUUUAGAACGGUGAAACUUUACUUUUUAAUUCAGUAUCGAAUUUUGAAUACGGCGCAUGUGCCAACAUAGCUGUUUCGAGAAAAUCGUGUUCAAUGUUUGACAGCUCCAUAAGCUCCUAGCAAAAAUAUUAUUUUGUUUCCUUUUUUUCUCAAAAAUUAAAUAUUCCUUAAAUAACUUUGUACAAAAUGUAGGUCUUCGAACGUACUUUUUCAACCCAGCUGAUAACUUAGUUCGUUUACAUUUGGCGCAUUCGCCAUAUUCAAAUUUUGCUACCAAAUUGUUUUUCGUUUUUUAUUGACACGCAAAACGUGAAAAGUGUUGAAUUAAUUAAUUUCAAACCUUCACGGACAAAACAAAACUACCCACUUAACUACUCACCACUGGGUUGAUGAGGCCAAAGUACGUAGUUUUGUUUGAACUUUUUGAGUGGGUAGUUUUGAUGUACUAGAGGCUUUUGAUCAAAGUACCCACUCACCAGGUAGAUUUUUUUAUCAUUGUCCGGCAUUUUUCUACAAUGAAAAUACGCGUGUGUCAAAAGUUUGCAGAAAAAGUUCAAGAUGCAAGUGCCGGAGGGAAUAAUUCUGAGGGAAACCUGGGGCAAGUUUCCGAUUCAGGAGCAAGGUCCAAGGCCAACGAGUGUCCCAACUCCCAGCAGCGGUCACCUGAAGCAGCAAGGAGGAACCUCUCUGGAAGCUACCGAUUCUGGUCGGGACGAAAGAAGCAACAACAGCAUGACGGGGGCAGAAAAAUACAAAUUAGGAUUCCUUGGAUAGUUAGUGAUUAAAGCUGACAGCUGAGAUAAAUGUACGAAACUUCUUCGAAUUUCGGAAACCAGGAAAAAAGCUUACGCGGACAAAGUGUACCCUUCACCUACGAUUAGAUAAAAGAAUAUUAAAAGCAAACAACAAUCAUCAGCAGCAGCAUACGGUUAUUCUUCUUGGUGUGAAAUCUCACCUGAUCAGUCAAUUAGCUUAGCUGAUAAACUCAUCGCAAAGUCAACUUAAAUCACAAAUUUUGCUGGCAAAUUAGGAAAAAAUGACGGUCUCUCCGGUUGUCACUAGACAAGGUUAGUACGUGAUAGUACGUAGUGUAUAAACAGACAUGGGGGCUUUUUUAUUUUGUGCAAAGGUACGAUUUAUAAAUAGUUUCUGAAUAACGAUUUAAAAAUAUAAAAAUCUAAAAUGAUUUGCUAAUUAACAUAACGUAAAAAAUGAUAGUUCCGUCAUUAGCCGAUAAUUUUAAUUUUGAUACAUAUUCUUCAU